rnacentral:rRNA from 1 species
AGAACUUAGCAGAGAUGCCUUGGUGCCUUCGGGAACUCUGAGACAGGUGCUGCAUGGCUGUCGUCAGCUCGUGUUGUGAAAUGUUGGGUUAAGUCCCGCAACGAGCGCAACCCUUAUCCUUUGUUGCCAGCGGUCCGGCCGGGAACUCAAAGGAGACUGCCAGUGAUAAACUGGAGGAAGGUGGGGAUGACGUCAAGUCAUCAUGGCCCUUACGAGUAGGGCUACACACGUGCUACAAUGGCGCAUACAAAGAGAAGCGACCUCGCGAGAGCAAGCGGACCUCAUAAAGUGCGUCGUAGUCCGGAUUGGAGUCUGCAACUCGACUCCAUGAAGUCGGAAUCGCUAGUAAUCGUGGAUCAGAAUGCCACGGUGAAUACGUUCCCGGGCCUUGUACACACCGCCCGUCACACCAUGGGAGUGGGUUGCAAAAGAAGUAGGUAGCUUAACCUUCGGGAGGGCGCUUACCACUUUGUGAUUCAUGACUGGGGUGAAGUCGUAACAAGGUAGGCGUAGUGCU